CCUACGGGAGGCUGCAGUGAGGAAUAUUGGUCAAUGGUCGGGAGACUGAACCAGCCAAGCCGCGUGAGGGAUGAAGGUACAGAGUAUCGUAAACCUCUUUUGUCAGGGAACAAAGGCGGGGACGUGUCCCCGGCUGAGUGUACCUGAAGAAAAAGCAUCGGCUAACUCCGUGCCAGCAGCCGCGGUAAUACGGAGGAUGCGAGCGUUAUCCGGAUUUAUUGGGUUUAAAGGGUGCGCAGGCGGUCUGUUAAGUCAGCGGUCAAAGCCCGGGGCUCAACCCCGGUCCGCCGUUGAAACUGGCAGUCUCGAGUUGGAGAGAAGUAUGCGGAAUGCGCGGUGUAGCGGUGAAAUGCAUAGAUAUCGCGCAGAACUCCGAUUGCGAAGGCAGCAUGCCGGCUCCACACUGACGCUGAGGCACGAAAGCGUGGGUAUCGAACAGGAUUAGAUACCCGAGUAGUC
rnacentral:rRNA from 1 species